rnacentral:snRNA from 1 species
GGUGUGGGCUGCAGCUAAGACUGUCACCCCACUGACCACCAGGUUGAUGAAGCUGCUCUGACUAACUAGGCUGGUAUCCCUUUCCACCUUGACUGUUCCACAUCAUGUGAGUGCUGACUGAAGCUGCUCACUUGGUCAACUGUGUGUACUUGUUGAAGAGGUAGACUUUCCCCAAAUAGAGGAGUACUGGUCUCCCAUUGAGGGGAUACUAGUAGCUGCACUCCCCUGCUAGAACCUCCAAAUCUCAAGACUCUUUUAUUAAGAGACCCUUGAAAUCUAGUCACCUGUAGUUAUGAGAGGGAACCACCCAUCAUCAUGUUGCU